rnacentral:ncRNA from 2 species
UGUUAAUGUAAACUGCAUUUUUAUCUUCCAAAUUCUUGGAUCCUAGCUUUCCUUCAUCAAAAAGAUAUAUUGCCUAUACAUCUUAAGGACUUGGACAUAAAAAUUUGAGGUCUUUUUAUGAUGUUUUAGGUCUGAAGACUUGCGGCGUGAAUUUGGUCGUUAUGGUCCUAUAGUUGAUGUGUAUGUUCCACUUGAUUUCUACACUCGCCGUCCAAGAGGAUUUGCUUAUGUUCAAUAUCCUUUCUUCAGAUGGCUGAUUAGUGAGGGGUGUUGAAGUUUGAAAUUCAAGUUUAUAGAAUGUAAAGCUGUACAGUUAUGGCGACCCCAAAGAGAAAGCAUGAAAGAACCUUUAGAGUAGAGUUCAACACUUAAGGCAAGUAGACAAGCCAAAGACCUCUUAAGGAUCAGGCUUG